rnacentral:tRNA from 1 species
GCCGGUGUAGCAUAGUGGUGGUGCAGUUCAUUGGUAAUGAACAGGUCGGGAGUUCAAAUCUCCCCACCGGCU